rnacentral:rRNA from 1 species
UUGAGGAAUAUUGGUCAAUGGGCGGGAGCCUGAACCAGCCAAGUCGCGUGAAGGAAGAAGGAUCUAUGGUUCGUAAACUUCUUUUGCAGGGGAAUAAAGUGCAGGACGUGUCCUGUUUUGUAUGUACCCUGAGAAUAAGGAUCGGCUAACUCCGUGCCAGCAGCCGCGGUAAUACGGAGGAUCCGAGCGUUAUCCGGAUUUAUUGGGUUUAAAGGGUGCGUAGGUGGUUUGAUAAGUCAGCGGUGAAAGGUUGCAGCUUAACUGUAGAAAUGCCGUUGAAACUGUCGGACUUGAGUGUAAAUGAGGUAGGCGGAAUGCGUGGUGUAGCGGUGAAAUGCAUAGAUAUCACGCAGAACUCCGAUUGCGAAGGCAGCUUACUAAGCUACAACUGACACUGAAGCACGAAAGCGUGGGGAUCAAACAGGAUUAGAUACCCGUGUAGUCC